GACAAACGCUGGCGGCGUGCCUAAUACAUGCAAGUAGAACGCUGAAGGAGGAGCUUGCUCUUCUGGAUGAGUUGCGAACGGGUGAGUAACGCGUAGGUAACCUGCCUGGUAGCGGGGGAUAACUAUUGGAAACGAUAGCUAAUACCGCAUAACAGUAGAUGUUGCAUGACAUUUACUUAAAAGGUGCAAUUGCAUCACUACCAGAUGGACCUGCGUUGUAUUAGCUAGUUGGUGGGGUAACGGCUCACCAAGGCGACGAUACAUAGCCGACCUGAGAGGGUGAUCGGCCACACUGAGACUGAGACACGGCCCAGACUCCUACGGGAGGCAGCAGUAGGGAAUCUUCGGCAAUGGACGGAAGUCUGACCGAGCAACGCCGCGUGAGUGAAGAAGGUUUUCGGAUCGUAAAGCUCUGUUGUAAGAGAAGAACGAGUGUGAGAGUGGAAAGUUCACACUGUGACGGUAUCUUACCAGAAAGGGACGGCUAACUACGUG
rnacentral:rRNA from 1 species